UUCACUGACUUUUGAUAAGAUUCGUUCUUGGGUCACUUCUCAGGAUCCAAAGCCAGAUGAGAAAGUGACUAUGAAAAAUCACCAAAUGCACACAUUCCAAAAACAUUGGGGGUAACUUUCAAAAACACAAAGAUCUCCAGAAUCAUUUACAGUGAGAACAAACUUGAAAGAAAUGGCAUGGCAGCUUAUAUCUAGCUCAAGCAUCUGUCAAGGUGAAACUGAGCCAUGAAGAAAUUAUACCCCUUGGCCAAGGUUACAUAGCUGGUAAGCAAAAGAGCCAGAAUUCAAACCCAGGCGAACAAGUUCCAGAGCUCAUGCUCUUAACUAGUAUACAAGACUACGUCUCAACUUCAAAUUCAUUGUCCUGUUGAGUAGCUGUCCUGGGAGGCUGUACAGCUCCAUCUAUGUUGGCAUUGCUGGAAACAUUCCUGGACUUUCUUUGAUACGCCUGAUUACUGAUACAUUAGAAGCCAAUCCAAACAGAGAGAAAUCCCCCCAGCAGCUUGGUCUGGCAGUAUAAAAAGGAAGUGAGCCGUCCCUCUGGCUAGACGCAGCCCACAAACAUGCUUGGUUUGGUCUGUGGUUUUGGCCUGAUCAGCGUUUUACAUUUUAAUUAGUUACCGAAAUAAAAACAAUGAAAUAUAAAAA
ensembl:lncRNA